rnacentral:rRNA from 1 species
GACGAACGCUGGCGGCGUGCUUAAUACAUGCAAGUCGAACGGACAGGCCCUGAUCUUGUGGGGUGCUUGUGUGGCGAAGGGGUGAGUAAAACGUGAGUAACCUGCCCUUGACUUUGGGGUAACUUCAGGAGACUGGGGCUCUUACAGCAUAGGAGCUCUUGAUGCACGGGGGGGGAUGGUAAGUUUCGGCGGUUUGGGCUAGACUCGAGGCUUAUCAGCUUGUUAGUGGGGUAGUGACUUACAAAGUCUUCGAAGGGUAGCCGGCCUGGGAGGGUGACCGGCCACAUUGGGACUGCGAGACGGCCCAGACUCCUACGGGCGGCAGCAGUGGGGAGUAUUGCACAGUGGGCGGAAGCCUGAUGCGGCGACGCCGCGUGCGUGAUGACGUCCUUCGAGUUGUAAACCGCUUUCGCCUGUGACGAAGCGUGCGUGACGGUAAUGAGUAAAGAAGCACCGGCUAACUACGUG